UUUAGAACAAUCUACCGAUCCGCAGUUUCUUAUGAUGUGCUCCGAGCCAACAUGUGUUCGAAGCACCACGAGAAGCUGCAGAUGGAGGAGUUUGUUC
rnacentral:pre_miRNA from 14 species